rnacentral:lncRNA from 1 species
AGUUUAUUUCUUGAGCCUCCCUUACAGAACAAACACUCCAAAUAUCAAGGCUUUGAGAGAGUCUUAGGCCUCUCUGUGGUAGGAGGAGUCCCAGUCCUCUGCUGGUGGGAACCUCCUAGGAAAGGUUUACAAUGGGACCCACACAUCAUUCCCUUGUCAACAGCAGCUAGACAACUUCCCUGGAGACUCAGGAGAGAGCUGGGUCAACACUACCAAUGGAGUACCGAGUACUGUGCUUUCUCUGAGCUAGUGUUAUGGACAGCCUCAGGGAAGCCACUGGGGACAUUGCUAAAAUUAUUUCCAAAUGGAGAGACAAGGGAGAAGAACUCACCAUCACAAAAGACAGCAACCUGGUAUCUUUGUGUGGAAUGAAGAUGUCUCUGGAAGAUUCUAUCUUAAAAGGACUCCAUUCUGUUUUCUGAUUCUAAUGCUAAAGAUCUCAGAAACCAACAAAGAAUCGCAAUAAGAACUCAGCUCUAAAAGAAAAUACACAUUUGUUGAAUUUCCAGGCAAUGUGUCUUUCUUUCAGGAGUGUCACACUGCUGUCUUGCUUUCUCUUAUAAAGUGGCUCCAUUAAUCUUCCACAUGGGUGACUACUUUUUGAUGGAGACUCACUGAGGAUUGUCAAGGGAUAAGAGACAGAAAAGACAGAUAAUGUAAUUCCAUAUUCAAGGGUCACCUUUCUUGGUUCAUAUUUUUUCUUUUGAGUUGGCAAAUUUUCAUAAAUCACCUGAAAAC